GACGAACGCUGGCGGCGUGCUUAACACAUGCAAGUCGAACGGAAAGGCCCUGCUUUUGUGGGGUGCUCGAGUGGCGAACGGGUGAGUAACACGUGAGUAACCUGCCCUUGACUUUGGGAUAACUUCAGGAAACUGGGUCUAUUACCGGAUAGGAGCUCCUGCUCCAUGUUGGGGGUUGGAAAGUUUCGGCGGUUGGGGCUGGACUCGCGGCUUAUCAGCUUGUUGGUGGGGUAGUGGCUUACCAGGGCUUUGACGGGUAGCCGGCCUGAGAGGGUGACCAGCCACAUUGGGACUGAGAUACGGCCCAGACUCCUACGGGAGGCAGCAGUGGGGAAUAUUGCACAAUGGGCGGAAGCCUGAUGCAGCAACGCCGCGUGCGGGAUGACGGCCUUCGGGUUGUAAACCGCUUUCGCCUGUGACGAAGCGUGAGUGACGGUAAUGGGUAAAGAAGCACCGGCUAACUACGUG
rnacentral:rRNA from 1 species